rnacentral:rRNA from 1 species
UACGUAGGGGGCAAGCGUUAUCCGGAUUUACUGGGUGUAAAGGGAGCGCAGGCGGCAGGAUGAGUCUGAUGUGAAAACCCGCGGCUCAACCGGGGGAGUGCAUUGGAAACUGUCCAGCUAGAGUGUCGGAGAGGUAAGCGGAAUUCCUAGUGUAGCGGUGAAAUGCGUAGAUAUUAGGAGGAACACCAGUGGCGAAGGCGGCUUACUGGACGAUGACUGACGCUGAGGCUCGAAAGCGUGGGGAGCAAACA